rnacentral:rRNA from 1 species
GACGAACGCUGGCGGCGUGCCUAAUACAUGCAAGUAGGACGCACAGUCUAUACCGUAGCUUGCUACACCAUAGGCUGUGAGUUGCGAACGGGUGAGUAACGCGUAGGUAACCUGCCUAUUAGAGGGGGAUAACUAUUGGAAACGAUAGCUAAUACCGCAUAACAGUAUGUAACACAUGUUAGAUGCUUGAAAGAUGCAAUUGCAUCGCUAGUAGAUGGACCUGCGUUGUAUUAGCUAGUAGGUAGGGUAAUGGCCUACCUAGGCGACGAUACAUAGCCGACCUGAGAGGGUGAGCGGCCACACUGGGACUGAGACACGGCCCAGACUCCUACGGGAGGCAGCAGUAGGGAAUCUUCGGCAAUGGGGGGAACCCUGACCGAGCAACGCCGCGUGAGUGAAGAAGGUUUUCGGAUCGUAAAGCUCUGUUGUUAAGGAAGAACGAGUGUGAGAAUGGAAAGUUCAUACUGUGACGGUACUUAACCAGAAAGGGACGGCUAACUACGUG